UACGUAGGGUGCAAGCGUUAAUCGGAAUUACUGGGCGUAAAGUGUGCGCAGGCGGCCGCGCAAGUCGAGUGUGAAAUCCCCGAGCUUAACUUGGGAAUUGCGCUCGAAACUACGUGGCUGGAGUGUGGCAGAGGAAGGUGGAAUUCCACGUGUAGCGGUGAAAUGCGCAGAGUAUCAGGAGGGAACACCGGCUGGCGAAGGCGGGUCUCUGGGCCGGAAUACGUGACGCUGAGGACGAAAGCGUGGGGAGCGAACAGG
rnacentral:rRNA from 1 species